rnacentral:rRNA from 1 species
GAUGAACGCUGGCGGCGUGCCUAACACAUGCAAGUCGAACGGAGUCCAGCCUUAGAGACCUUCGGGUCAAAGAGGGGAAGACUGAGUGGCGGACGGGUGAGUAACACGUGGGCAACCUGGCUCAUAGAGGGGGAUAACAGAGAGAAAUUUCUGCUAAUACCGCAUAAGCACACACUGCCGCAUGGCAGAGUGUGAAAAGAGAAUCGCUAUGAGAUGGACCCGCGUCUGAUUAGCCAGUUGGCAGGGUAAGAGCCUACCAAAGCGACGAUCAGUAGCCGAUUUGAGAGGAUGAACGGCCACAUUGGGACUGAGACACGGCCCAAACUCCUACGGGAGGCAGCAGCGGGGGAUAUUGCACAAUGGGGGGAACCCUGAUGCAGCGACGCCGCGUGAGUGAAGAAGUAUUUCGGUAUGUAAAGCUCUAUCAGCAGGGAAGAUAAUGACAGUACCUGAAUAAGAAGCCCCGGCUAACUACGUG